GAUGAACGCUGGCGGCGUGCUUAACACAUGCAAGUCGAACGAUGAAGCCCAGCUUGCUGGGUGUUUUAGUGGCGAACGGGUGAGUAACACGGGAGUAACCUGCCCUUAACUCUUUGAUAAGCCUUGAAAACUGGGUCUAAUACCGGAUAGCAGCGCCUACCGCAUGGUGGGUGUUGGAAAUCUUUAUCGGUUUUGGGUGGACUCGCGGCCUAUCAGCUUGUUGUUGAGGUAAUGGCUCACCAAGGCGACGGCGGGUAGCCGGCAUGAGAGGGUGACCGGCCACCAUGGGCCUGCGACACGGACCAGAGUCCUACGGGAGGCAGCAGUGGGGAAUAUUGCACAAUGGGAGCGAGUCUGAUGCGGAGACGCCGCGUGAGGGAUGACGGCCUUUGGGUUGUAAACCUCUUUCAGUAGGGAAGAAGCGAAAGUGACGGUACCUUAAGAAUAAGCACCGGCUAACUACGUG
rnacentral:rRNA from 1 species